rnacentral:piRNA from 1 species
GCGGCGCGACGAGAUGCUGUGCAUGCACC